rnacentral:rRNA from 1 species
AGUCGAGGGGCAGCAUUUCAGUUUGCUUGCAAACUGGAGAUGGCGACCGGCGCACGGGUGAGUAACACGUAUCCAACCUGCCGAUAACUCGGGGAUAGCCUUUCGAAAGAAAGAUUAAUACCCGAUGGUAUAAUUAGACCGCAUGGUCUUGUUAUUAAAGAAUUUCGGUUAUCGAUGGGGAUGCGUUCCAUUAGGCAGUUGGUGAGGUAACGGCUCACCAAACCUUCGAUGGAUAGGGGUUCUGAGAGGAAGGUCCCCCACAUUGGGACUGAGACACGGUCCAAACUCCUACGGGAGGCAGCAGUGAGGAAUAUUGGUCAAUGGGCGCAGGCCUGAACCAGCCAAGUAGCGUGAAGGAUGACUGCCCUAUGGGUUGUAAACUUCUUUUAUAUGGGAAUAAAGUUUUCCACGUGUGGAAUUUUGUAUGUACCAUAUGAAUAAGGAUCGGCUAACUCCGUGCCAGCAGCCGCGGUAAUACGGAGGAUCCGAGCGUUAUCCGGAUUUAUUGGGUUUAAAGGGAGCGUAGGUGGACAGUUAAGUCAGUUGUGAAAGUUUGCGGCUCAACCGUAAAAUUGCAGUUGAUACUGGCUGUCUUGAGUACAGUAGAGGUGGGCGGAAUUCGUGGUGUAGCGGUGAAAUGCUUAGAUAUCACGAAGAACUCCGAUUGCGAAGGCAGCUCACUGGACUGCAACUGACACUGAUGCUCGAAAGUGUGGGUAUCAAACAGGAUUAGAUACCCUGGUAGUCCACACAGUAAACGAUGAAUACUCGCUGU